AGUAAAGUCUGCUAAAUAAGCUUUUAGGCCUAUAUCCUAAUAAUGCAGGUGAAAGCCCUACCCUUACUA
rnacentral:tRNA from 1 species